AUCUCCUGUUUCAGGCUCUGGAAAUCUCUGGACUCGUUGUCAGGAAGGAACUGCGUGUGUUCGUACACAAGAAGUAUGCCACUCGAAAAUGUGAUAAUGGAUCAGAUAUAUCCUUGCUCAUAAUAAGGAGAAAUGGGAAUUCUGAUGCUGCCCGGGCCGCUGUAAUUCUGCAUUCAGCAGCUAAUCAUAACAAUACAUUCUCUACACCCAAGCUCUCCUGACCUGAGUUUGAAUGCAUGGGGAGCGCAGAAAUACAACCCUCUAAAUGCAGUUUCUGUUACCAAGUUGAAUUAGAGCUGUGCUGUGAGUACGAGAAAGAAUGUGAAACCUUCUUGUCAGCUCUAAGCAGAACAAUCACUUAUUUUUCUUUUCAAACCAGGGAGGUCAUGUUGCUGAUAGUCACAAAAAUAAGCUUUUUCGAGUCAGCAGCUUUGCCUGAUCUGUUGGAAAUGUCACUACUUGCUGGUAAAUAUUCCAGCAGCCAGAAGUCUUUGUUUCUAAACCCAAUUAUGGUGGCUGUCUGACAACAAUGCACUUACUUAUCACAGCAUCCAAAACACCUGACCACUUAAAAGCAGCCAUGUGAAUAGUGAAGGGCUUCAUAAGUCUUCUGGGGCCCGAAUAACAAACGAAAUUAUUCUUAUUAAGCUCAAUUUUUUUUUUUAUGGUGGUACAAGGGCUCUAAUUCUGACCCAGAUGGAAUGCUAUUGUUCCACUGGUGAAUUCAAAAUGCAAGGAAUAACACAAAUCCAUUUCUUCAAUAAGGGCAUAAAAAGUAUGUAUCUGUAGUUUGAUGGCAUACCUGGCAUAGCAGUGAUGCUAUUCCUGGUCUCAGUGCAAAGCAAAGUCAGAAGCAAUGCUGAGGCACAGACAGAUUUCUGGAUGUGGUUAAGGAGAACUCUUUAAGCCAUGGCAGGGAACUCAGGAACUCGGGGACUUGUAAAAUACCUUCAGUAAAAAGCAAAUAUAGGUUUAAUGAGUGCCUGGAGGUCUCUCUGGGUGUAAAGCCAGCUAAUCGUUGCUGCUGAAGGCAUGAUUUCUUGCUUUACACAGGGAUUUACCAGUGACCUAGGCCUGCAAUAGGAAUCCCAAGCAAUUAACAAGAGAGAGCAGUGGGGAAGAUCCCAGAUAGUUUGCUGGGAAACACAGCCUGUACUUAGCAAACAUUGCAGUGCUAUGUCUAAAGCAUGGGAUCUUUGGCUGCUGUCAAUAGG
rnacentral:lncRNA from 7 species